rnacentral:rRNA from 1 species
AGUGAACGCUGGCGGCAGGCCUAACACAUGCAAGUCGAACGGCAGCACAGUAAGAGUUUGCUCUUACGGGUGGCGAGUGGCGGACGGGUGAGGAAUACAUCGGAAUCUACUUUUUCGUGGGGGAUAACGUAGGGAAACUUACGCUAAUACCGCAUACGACCUACGGGUGAAAGCAGUGGAUCUUGGGACCUUGCGCGACUGAAUGAGCCGAUGUCGGAUUAGCUAGUUGGCGGGGUAAAGGCCCACCAAGGCGACGAUCCGUAGCUGGUCUGAGAGGAUGAUCAGCCACACUGGAACUGAGACACGGUCCAGACUCCUACGGGAGGCAGCAGUGGGGAAUAUUGGACAAAGGGCGCAAGCCUGAUCCAGCCAUACCGCGUGGGUGAAGAAGGCCUUCGGGUUGUAAAGCCCUUUUGUUGGGAAAGAAAAGAAGCAGGUUAAUACCCCGCUGUUCUGACGGUACCCAAAGAAUAAGCACCGGCUAACUUCGUG